GCAGUGCCAGGAAAACUAAAAUCCCUUUUGACACAAAUAAAAGAUAAACAAAAAUAGUGAGAUAUCCUGUUAAUGGAAUCUAGUAAGGAAUCUGCUUGCUUUUGUAGCAAUGCAGCUUUGUAAAAUGCAAACGGAAUGUGAUAAGAAUGUCUGUGUGCGAGCAUAUUGCAGUAGUACAGUUACACUAAACUAUUGCAUUAUUGAAUGAUAUUGACCACUCUCUCAAU